CCUACGGGUGGCAGCAGUCGAGAAUCAUUCACAAUGGGGGAAACCCUGAUGGUGCGACGCCGCGUGGGGGAAUGAAGGUCUUCGGAUUGUAAACCCCUGUCAUGUGGGAGCAAAUUAAAAAGAUAGUACCACAAGAGGAAGAGACGGCUAACUCUGUGCCAGCAGCCGCGGUAAUACAGAGGUCUCAAGCGUUGUUCGGAAUCACUGGGCGUAAAGCGUGCGUAGGCUGUUUCGUAAGUCGUGUGUGAAAGGCGCGGGCUAAACCCGCGGACGGCAGAUGAUACUGCGAGACUAGAGUAGUGGAGGGGGAACCGGAAUUCUCGGUGUAGCAGUGAAAUGCGUAGAUAUCGAGAGGAACACUCGUGGCGAAGGCGGGUUCCUGGACAUUAACUGACGCUGAGGCACGAAGGCCAGGGGAGCGAAAGGGAUUAGAUACCCUAGUAGUC
rnacentral:rRNA from 1 species